AAGAGACAGCAGUAGCCACGGUAAAACGAAGGGGGCUAGCGUUGUUCGGAUUUACUGGGCGUAAAGGGCGCGUAGGCGGACUGAUAAGUCAGGGGUGAAAUCCCAAGGCUCGACCUUGGAACUGCCUUUGAUACUGUUAGUCUUGAGUUCGAGAGAGGUAAGUGGAACUGCGAGUGUAGAGGUGAAAUUCGUAGAUAUUCGCAAGAACACCAGUGGCGAAGGCGGCUUACUGGCUCGAAACUGACGCUGAGGCGCGAAAGCGUGAGGAGCAAACAGGAUUAGAUACCCCCGUAGUCCCUGUCUCUUAUAC
rnacentral:rRNA from 1 species